rnacentral:lncRNA from 1 species
CCUCAUAGGAGGAGGAAAACCUUCCUUCGAACCCGCCCUGUCCCUACUCGCCCCACACGUGGGUUAGAAGUAGAAAGGAAACCACCCUUCCUCCUCCGGAUCUGCCCUGCUGCCCACCGUCGCUGGCUCCUAGCACGUCCCCCUACUGCCAGGUCGCCACCACAGCUCCCCUUUCCCUCUUCCGCAUGCACGCUGCAAUAUAAGGAUAAAGAUGUUGAAACACCAGAAACGUGAUAUUGCAACAGCGUACGACGAACUACUGCAACAAUAAGUUGUAGCAGUUGAAACAUCAUGAAUGUAUAAAAAGUGCAACAAAAAAAGGACAAGAGUUCCAACACUGGGAUGAUGAAUUUGAAACACCUUGAACAUAUUAUUGCAACAAACAAAGAAAAAACAACUGAAACAUUUGGCUGCAACUACUGAAACACAAUAAACAUGCUACUACAACAACACCCGAACACCUGCUGCAACAUGCAAAUUGAACAAAAACAACACAAACAAUACUGCAACAACAAAUAAAAACCUAAUACAACAUAUAGAAAGAACCAUUGCAGCAAUAGCAAGAUCUGAACCCGAGAGCUCGCUGGAACCUAGCCUAUUGCAACAUUACCUGAAAACAUACAUCAACAACCAGAGAACACUAUUGCAACACGCGCGAGAACAGAACCCCGAGAGCUCGUUGGAACCCUAGCCAUCACCACAUCCCUUAGAUCUAGACCCAGAGAAGAAGGACAAGGACAACGAGGAGGAUGAGAAGCAGCAACAGCAGCAGCAGCAACAACAACAACAACAACAACAACAAUAAGAGGAGGAGGAGGAGGAAGAGGAGAAAUAAUCAGAUCUAGGACACACCUACCUCGCCGGAAAGCUAUGUUGCAGCCCUCAUCUCUAGUGGCAUGGAGGUCGCUGAUGGGGAAAGGAGGAAGGCGGGGAGGGAGAGAUGGCGUGGCUCACCGGAAGCCGCCGCGUCGCCCUCAACUCCUGCCCCAUGGAGGUCGUGGAAAGCAGAGAAAGUGAGGGAGGGAGGGAGAAGGGGGAGGAGAGAGGCAGGUAAGGAGAGAUAGCAUAGCUCGCUGGUAGCUGCUCGCCGGUAGUGCGAGAGGGAGGAAGGGCGACGGCGUCUGAAUGGAGCGAGACAGGAAG